UCACAUUCUGAGGCAGUGGCCUAUG
rnacentral:misc_RNA from 1 species